GAGGACUACUGAAUGACAACUUUAUGAAUAAUUGGCAAAACGCAGAGCUGUUUUUAUUGUUUUAACACUGAUGUGGUUCUCAGCAAUAUCACAUAUCAGGUUUUGUCUUUUUUCUCAGUUCUACAUUUUGUACAUUGAACUCCCAGAAGAACUGCAGACAACAGGACUUGCAAAAAAGUACAAGUUCUGGGACUUUCAUGUGUCAAUUGAGUAGGAUUCCCCGAUUCUUUCACAGGGGAAGUCCUUUCUUCAGAAUACGAUUCAUGGAAAAAAGUUGCAUGUCCAUAAAAAGUCGGUUUGCUUUGAUGGAACCAUACUGGUUGAAGCCUUCCAGGGGAAUCUUGACAUUGGUGAGGAACUGUUGAAAUUCAAAUUCGCCAAAGUCAAUCUUCCAGGAAAAAGGGAGAACUCACUUCCCUCAGUAAACCUGCAAGAGAGCACAAGACUGUGCCCCACCAGAAAUGUCCCAGGAGAGUUGGACACGCUGGACUCUCCACUGGGAUGCAUGCCCAAAUUGCGACCAAUAUUCCCAGAACAGAAACCUCAAAUUAUUAAGUUUUGAGGCACACAGACAAUAAUAUAGAUUUACCUCUCUUUGUGAAAGUGCUUAAAGGGAUAGUCGACGCAAAUAUUAAAAUUGCCAUCAUUUACUUACCCUCAUGUUGUUCCAAACCUGUAUGCAUUUUUUGGAACACAAAGGAAGAUUUUGAAGAAUGUUGGUAAUGUUGUUUUUUGUCCAUACAAUGUAAAGUCAAUGGGUUCAAAAUAUCUUAGGUGUGUGUGUGUGUGUGUGUAUGUAUGUAUUCUACAACAACAACAACAAAAAAACAGGUUUGGACCAAUAUGAAGGUGAGUAAAUUAUGACAGAAUUUACAUUUUUGGGUGAAAUAUCCCUUAAAGGAUAACAAUUACAUUCACUUUAAUCAUGGCAUCACCAUGAAUCAUGGCAUCAUCGUCAUGAAGAUCUCUUGAUGAAUCUUCUGAUUUGUGAAAAACACUGUUAACACCCAACUGGCACAUUUCCCACCUAAUAUUCAGGGGGAUUUAGAUCCUGUCGGAAUUCGGAAAGGAAAAGAAUAUACCCCAUCUUUUGUUAUUAAUGUCAAAGGGUGUGCAUUAAAUCUGUGACUGUCUCUGCUGUUUUGCAUACCCAGAGGAUGAGAGAGGUGAUCAAUGAUAAGGACAUGGAGAUAAAGAAACUAAAAGAAGAAGGAAGUGCCAUCCAGCAGCAAGCAUCUCUCCUGGGGCAGCAGCUUGAGGAGGCCAAAUUAGAGCUCCAGGUGCCCAGAGCUGUUUCACACAUAGGGGUGUUGAUUGUUCAGUGUGUUUUAGGCCAUGACGCAGAUUAAUGACAUCCACCUUAUUUUAUUAACUUAAAAAAUGCGCACCUGUCUUGAAUGUCCGACGUUUCUGGUUUCAUCUGUUUCCAUUUAUUUUUUUCACUGUGUAACAUAGCUCAUUUAUGCUGCUUGAUACUGCAAAGUGGUAUUUCUUAUCGUAUAGUAUUAAUGUAUUAUUUUAACUAGUAACACACUGGUUUGUAGUGCAAAUAGUUCUACGGUUUGCUACACUUUGUUGUUCUUCUAGUUAUUAAAGGGAUACUCCACCCCAAAA